rnacentral:rRNA from 1 species
GGAAGGGGUGUAUUUAUUAGAUUAAAAACCAAUGCCCUUCGGGGCUAACUGGUGAUUCAUAAUAACUUCUCGAAUCGCAUGGCCUUGCGCUGGCGAUGGUUCAUUCAAAUUUCUGCCCUAUCAACUUUCGACGGCUGGGUCUUGGCCAGCCAUGGUGACAACGGGUAACGGAGGGUUAGGGCUCGACCCCGGAGAAGGAGCCUGAGAAACGGCUACUACAUCCAAGGAAGGCAGCAGGCGCGCAAAUUACCCAAUCCCGACACGGGGAGGUAGUGACAAUAAAUACUGAUACAGGGCUCUUUUGGGUCUUGUAAUUGGAAUGAGUACAAUUUAAAUCCCUUAACGAGGAACAAUUGGAGGGCAAGUCUGGUGCCAGCAGCCGCGGUAAUUCCAGCUCCAAUAGCGUAUAUUAAAGUUGUUGCAGUUAAAAAGCUCGUAGUUGAACCUUGGGCCUGGCUGGCCGGUCCGCCUCACCGCGUGUACUGGUCCGGCCGGGCCUUUCCUUCUGGGGAGCCGCAUGCCCUUCACUGGGCGUGUCGGGGAACCAGGACUUUUAC